AAGCAUAAGAAAUUAUAUUUUGACAUUGCAGUUUUUGGGAAAAACAGGCUAUUUUAUGUGACUCAACAGAUUAGUCAUCAGAUAUCAGAUGGAACAAAUUUGAACUGUACACCAUGUUUGGAUAAACUGAGAGUAUUUUAUUUUGCCUAAGUAUGUUUAGUCAGAAGGAUGAAGAGGUAAGAUUUUUUGUGCCUUUUCAUUCUCUAUGUACUAAAUAAAUUUCCCCAUCCUUCCAAGUGCGUUCAUCUUUAGCCACUGUUUUCACUAAAGGUAUCUGUCUACGCUAUAACUUUAAAUUUUAAGUGCACUUUGAGUGCAAGAUAACAAUGAUCCUCCAAAUUGUUAAAAACACUAAUAAAGAAAAUCGUUCAGAAGGAAGACUGUACCUCACAAAGAGCAACGGCCUUCAACAGUCCUCCGUUAAUCAGCAUCUGCCGCCAAGUCUUGUCUUCCUGUGGCGGGGGAAGGGAUGGAUGGAGGACAGAAACUGCAUCCUGGCAUCAAGAAAAAGAACUUUCUUCCAGGCUAAGUGCAAAACAGAGAAGAGAAAUGCUUCCCACAAGCUGGGAAAUUUCCAACUCACCAAAGCAGAUGCUGGACAUGGAUUGCUCACCAAUGGAAUAUUAUUUAUUACUUAUUAAGAAAUAAAGUUGGAGCUAAAUUACUUGAAGCAUUAAGACUGAAUAUAAAAGUAAUAGACCAACAAUAGAGAAUUGUAUUGGAACAUAUUUCAACAUAAAAAGAUACUGAGGGUCUUCCAUCACUUUGAGAUUUGAAAACAACUGAAGGUUUAAGUUUUCCAAUGACUUAAGCGAAAAAAGGAUGAACCUAAUCAAUUGUGGAAAGAGAUGUUAAACAUGAAGCAGAUUUCCAGCUUUCUAAGGCCUAUAAAAGUCAUUUUAGGUGGAACGCAAACAGACUCCACCCUUUCAAUUAUGAAGCUUUGCAAGAAGAAUUCAGUUGUGUGGUCACCAAAAUAACACCAACACUUCUGGCUUUUAGUUAGUAGUUAGGCAAGAUGAUUUAGAAUGUUAACCAUCUCUUUUAUUACUUGGCAGCUUUGGGGUAUCCGAUUUAAGUCAUGAAUAAUCCCUUUGAAAACAAAACAUCUCCUUCAGAGGGAUAAUUAGACUAUUACUAAGGACAAACUAUCCAACAUCAAAAGGACGGACCCUAAGAAGUCACGCAACAGGCAGUCUUCUCCUCAAAUUAAAAGCAUGCUUAGCAUUAGAGGUCACUGCAAUAAAUAAAGGGAUGUGAAAUAAUUACUUACAAGUUUCAGCCAAAGAACUACAGCACAAACUAUAAUAAAAAGUGACUAGGUUCUGAAAAGUGAAUAUGCUAAUUAUUCUCAGUGUUUGAAUUGGUGCUUGGGAGCAUGUCCCCCAUUCUCUGAUUAAGAGUCAUUAAUCAUUUCUGUGAGGUCACUGUUAUUCCAAGAGAUCCUCAACAAUGGAAUCAAGGAUAUUGCUGCUAACAGUAUUCAAAAUGGGGGGGAAAUUCAAUGGAAGACCCAGAUGGUAAUAAUUACAUUAAGACUACCUCCCAAAUUACAAGACUAUUUUCUCUCAAGGUCAAGAUGUGCAAUUUUCUUUGUGAACAAAAUGCAUAACCAAAUGACCUAUUAUUAAUCAUAACUCCAAGCCCGCAUCACAUUACUCAUCAAUUGAAUGACAAUAAAAUAAUCUGCUCUGCUCAUGGUAUUUUUUUUCAGGUGGCUGCUAAGUUACCCAUAGUACUCCAUUCUAUCAAGAGUUACUAAUGAAUGAUCAGAGUGCAGUAAUUUUCAAUUGAGUAUUUCCAAGCUCCCCCUACUCAAGAACACUUUUUAUACCAUCAAUACUAAGUUAUUUGUGACAGUGGAAGAUGGUCAUUAUGCAAAGAUUUUAGCUUUCCUAAUGAUUUUACUUAAACCACUUUUUACAUCCAUCCAUGUUGGGGAUCUGAUAAUGCAUGGAUUUCUUUUCUCUUUUCCUUUUUCCUUAUGAAGGAGAUGCUAAAUUGCAGUGAAAUCACCAAAUGGAAGACAUUUGAAGAGAGGAGUAAAUAUAUAAGUCUCCGGUCAAGGAGAUGCUGAUUGGAACACUUCCUAAAAAGCUAUUCACCUGGAAGUUGCUCUUAUAAAUUAUUUAUUAUCCAUAAAGUUGUUAUAAUAUCUGAAACUAUUUGAGUCAACUAUUUGAAAAGUAACGAAAUAUACUCCUCACGCAGUGGGUUGAAUUUACUCUAUCAAACUUUGGUAUAGUAAGGCUCAGAAGUUUUGUGAUCAAGAUUUAUUAGGCAGCUUAACCCAACACCACUUGCACCCUCUUUGCCUCAGGUCAUUUAUCUAUAAAAUAGAAAUGUCAAUAGUGUCUUUUCUAACAGGUCUUUGUUUGAGCAUUAGAAGAGCUUAUGGAAGUCAAAUCUUCAGAAUGAAACCUGGAAUAUAGUAAGCAGUAAACAAAUGUUAGAUACUGUUGGUGGUGGUUAUGCAAAAUUUAAGGUAAAGAUCAUCUGAAGUGUGUGUACUGACCUCAGUUUAUGCCCAACCCCAGAUCAGCUGGGCCCUGCCUAAUUCCUGGUGAGAGUGACCCUAGAGAUGGCUCACAUCAUCCCCUGCAGUCAUAAAGUCUCUGCCAUCUCCGCUGCCACCCACUGAGAAGCUCCUCACACGCAGCUGUCGCCAGGAACUACCUAGAACUGCCCCAUAACACAAGGCAAAGAUUCAGGGCUGAUGGUGUCCCAUGGGGCCAUUCAAUGGGAGGUAGGAAACUGGAAAGAACCAGCAGAUAGAUGGGUUACCCCUUCUCCUCAUCUAAUGCACUGUUCUGGGAUGCAGUCUAUUGCCUUUUGUGGCAUAGACUGGAAAACAGUCAGCUGUGCCUUUUGUGACACUGUGGUCAGCCUGCAUUCCAGGUUGUAGAGUGUCUGUUUUAUUCAUAUUUCUGGCCUCCUGCAGAGAACAGCCCAGAAAUUGGUAGACAGUACGGAUUCAACAAUGCUUUUUAAAUAAAAUGAAUGAAUACAUGAAUGGAUGCUGUGGUUUCAUUGACAAAUAGGAAAAUCUGGCAUCAGAAAAUAAAGGAGUGGAAACCAAAUCCCGUGUUAGGAUGUGAAGCUAUGGUUCUUAGACACAAGUAUUUUCAGUUUGGAUGAAUCCAAGCACAAAUAAAUAAUGAGGAGCUGAAUGCUAUGUAUCACAACUAUAAUAAUCAUCUGAGCUAAUAAAGAAGUCCCAGCCUGGGAAGAAAAGGACUCCGGGUACAGCUGAGACUCCAACACCACAGGGCUUUGGCACUUUGAAUAUGUCAUCACACUGCCUUCCAGCCUCCUCUAUUUUGGAUGAUGUCAGCUGUUGGACUUAUUGGUGAAUCCCAAGUCCUUGUCAAGUCUGAACUUUCAAAGGAGGAAGAAGACGGAUGGGAGAAGGAAUGCUUAAAGCUUCAAGAGUGUAGGGGCC
rnacentral:lncRNA from 1 species